rnacentral:rRNA from 1 species
UACGUAGGUGGCUAGCGUUGUCCGGAUUUACUGGGCGUAAAGAGCGCGCAGGCGGUCGUUCAAGUCGAGUGUGAAAGCCCCCCGGCUCAACUGGGGAGGGUCACUCGAUACUGAUCGACUCGAAGGCAGGAGAGGGAAGCGGAAUUCCCGGUGUAGUGGUGAAAUGCGUAGAUAUCGGGAGGAACACCAGUGGCGAAGGCGGCUACCUGGACCGGAACUGACGCUGAUGCGCGAAAGCGUGGGUAGCAAACAGG